rnacentral:lncRNA from 1 species
CUUCCUGUGUGGAACCUGGAAUUCAAACGGCUGGGUAGGAAGCACGCUAGCAGGGGCCUCUGGCCUUGCUGAGGGUCCCUGUUUCCCCUUUUCCUUCCUUUUCACCCAACAAAACCCUGCUUUACUCACCCUUCAAACCAUCUAUGAGCCUAAAUUGUCGUGGUCGUGGAAUGGACAAGGACCCAGUCUUUAGCUGAACUAAGGGAAAGUCCUGCUUUUUGGCGCGCAACAGGGGAGCUCAAGAAACAAGUCAAAGAAACUUUGAACUAUUUAUGGCCUUUAAUAAUUAAGUAAGGUAUACUCCUGUGAUCAAGACUUGGAGCAUAUUUGUUUCUCUCUGCCUGGUUCCUCUAGAAAUUGGAAACUAUCAGAACAGAGACCAACUCCGUUUCCCGAUCCCUUUGCAAUCUGCAUUGAACCAUGAGUCAAGUUCUUGAUAAAGGAGUGAAAAUGGAUGACAUUUAAGGCACAUCUGAAGAUGGGGAAACCACAGCACAGAAUAAGGCUGGGCCCUUGAAUCAAUAAAUGAAGGAGAACUACUCAAGAGAACAAAACCACCAGCAAUAUCCACCUGUAUUUGUCUUUUCAUAAUGUGUGACACAUGUGCUCAUGGAUUAUUGUCCGAAGCAAGACAUGUGACCAAGCCUAACAUCAACUGGGUGAAGAGCUAUAUGUUCCUUUCUCAAGAGGCACUACAAGUGACAUGCCACUGGGCAGAAGGUUGAAAAGAUGAUCCAGUGAAGAAACAAGAGAAGAUGUAGCCAGGAAAUAUCUGAAGCAAACUGGUGGAUUCUGAAUGAUUAAAAAUAAUAAUAACCAAAGAGAAAAGAAGUAGUGGAUGAGGUUGGCAGAGAUGAGGAACUGCCAUUUCUCCAAAGCUCUGAACCAAAAGCAAAGACUCAUUUGAAUGUUUUACCAAGCUUGAGUACUUUACAAAACUUGAAAGUGUGCAAGAGCAAAGAGGUAUCAUUUAGCACACUAUAAAUAGCAUCUUCUUUAAAAAUGUUGUACACAUUUCUCAUAUUUGAAAGUAAAUAACCUGAGAUUUAAAACAUCUGUCAAACAAUCUGUGAAUGUUAUGUGCCAUUUUAAUACAUUUUGACAUUAUUUCAUGUUGAAACAUACUUUCUCUGAUUGUAUUGACUGGAUUAUAUAGAACCUCUUUGACUGACUUAGUCUAUAACUUGCCCAGAUAAAAUGUACAUUGCAAGUAAAUAAAAUAUGGGUGAUAUGGGAAUGAAAUUUCAAGGCAAGUUUCGUGUAUAAUCUGUAGCUCCUCUCAAACUAUAUUACCACUCCUAAGACAUCCUUUAUCUGAUACGAAUGCCUAAUAAGGAGCAACAUUUCUUUUUAUGCUAUAAUUACAUUGUACUAAUUCUUUUUCUAAAAUGGAAAUGCAUACCAUCAAAGAAUAAAACAAAAUGUUAAGAAUUUCACACAUUUAUAUUUGAUAAAAUGACACUUUGUAUUCAAAUGACACAUUCAUUUUUUCCCUACUACUUGAAUGAAUAAAAACAUCCUUUAUUGUU